rnacentral:rRNA from 1 species
CCCUUAGAUGUUCUGGGCCGCACGCGCGCUACACUGAUUCAUGCAACAAGUUUUGUCCUUGGCUGAUAGGCCUGGGUAAUCUUUGAACGUGAAUCGUGAUGGGGAUAGAUGAUUGCAAUUAUUCAUCUUCAACGAGGAAUUCCUAGUAAACGCAAGUCAUCAGCUUGCAUUGAUUACGUCCCUGCCCUUUGUACACACCGCCCGUCGCACCUACCGAUUGAAUGGUCCGGUGAAAUCUCGGGACGGCGGCUUGGUCGCUUGCGUCCGACUGCCGAAACUUGAUUAAACCAUAUCAUUUAGAGGAAGGUGAAGUCGUAACA